ACUUAAAUGACACGACGAUACGCUCUUCAAGAAAACCUAAGCACUUAAAUACCAACUUAGAACAUCUUCGAUGUACACCUUUAUAUUUUUCUCUAAAAUAAAAUUUUUUAUUAUAAAAAUAAAAAUGCUCCAAUGUAUACCUCUAUAAUAAAGUUUUUCUAUUUUACAGAAAAAUAUAGAGAAAAUUAUUUUUUGCCUCUAUAUUUAAAGGUAAAAAUAACAUAUCUCUAUAUUUUUCCCUAUAAAUAGAAGAACUCUAUUAUACAGGUAUUCAUUGGAGCAUUUUUACUUCUAUAAUAGAAUUUCUCUAUUUUAGAGAAAAAUAUAUAGAUAGAAA
rnacentral:lncRNA from 1 species